CUAUUCCAUUAGCAAAAGAUUUUUGUUAAUAAGUGAACUGCUUACUGGGGUCUACUGUGACACACUGGACUGACUCAGGUCCCACCCUUCCACCUCUGUGACUGAUGACAGAAUUUGCUGCUUCCUUUGUCUUACAGCUUCAGAGUUCACUUCCUAUCGACUCCCAGAACAAUCAAUCAGUCACCAAUUACCAACAUUUUGUUGUCAGAGGGAGUUCAAAGGCCAAGUGGAAGAAAAUAAUGCGAGACUAUGAAUUUGAGUGGGGAAAUACAAUUAAACAAACAGGACUCCCUUUAUGUCACACAGCUUGUUUGUGUUUGUGUGUGCUAUUGUGCGCACUCAAAUGGUUCAGCCUGCCUUAUGAACACAGUCUGAAGAAUAAAGUCUAACAUUCUUCCGCUCUGAAGUCUCAAUGGGCUUGAAACGAGAAGUGAGCAAUUUGACAGAGAGGACCGAAGAUACAGAAAACAGUGGUUGGGAGUUAGCAUGGAGCACAAAAAUAGGUGGAGAAAGAAG